rnacentral:sRNA from 12 species
CACGUGGACUGUUAUAUCAAACCGUAGUAGAUACUCUUACAGUUUCGAGGCGGGACAGGAAGAAGCGUGAA